GGGCUCACACAAGCGGUGGAGCAUGUGGUUUAAUUCGAUGAUACGCGAGGAACCUUACCAGGGCUUAAAUGGGAGAUGACAGGGGCAGAGACGCCCUUUUCUUCGGACAUCUUUCAAGGUGCUGCAUGGUUGUCGUCAGCUCGUGCCGUGAGGUGUCAGGUUAAGUCCUAUAACGAGCGCAACCCCUACCGUUAGUUGCCAGCGAUUCAAGUCGGGGACUCUAACGGGACUGCCGGUGCAAACCGUGAGGAAGGUGGGGACGACGUCAAAUCAUCACGGCCCUUACGUCCUGGGCUACACACGUGCUACAAUGGUCGGUACAGAGGGAAGCUACCCCGCAAGGGGAUGCGGAUCUAUAAAAACCGAUCUCAGUUCGGAUCGGGGUCUGCAACUCGACCCCGUGAAGCUGGAAUCGCUAGUAAUCGGAUAUC
rnacentral:rRNA from 1 species